rnacentral:misc_RNA from 1 species
GUAGGUGAACCUGCGGAGGGAUCAUUAACACGUGCCAAAACACGUUUUAAACCAAUCGCUCUGUGAACACAAACCCAACUCCCUUCACAUGUGGACGAUCGAACAACCAUCAGGGUGGAGUGUGUGGAUACGGAUCUUCUUCGGAAGGCACUCUGUAUCUCGCAACUAUGGCUCGGUCUAGGGCACCUCGAGUGUCCAAUCCUGUGUGAAGUGAUGCGCGACCACCUGGCAGUUUGCCCUUUCAAGGCGUUGCUGAGCUUCGGCUCUUCAAUGCUGCGACUGAGCAAGCGUUCUGCCGAAUUUUGUUUAACCCCAUUUUUAACCCCUUUAACAACAUACUAAUAACUGAACCAUGUUCAUGCAGCUGCUUGUUGGACUCUCGGGUCUUUCAUGUUGGCUCAUGAUACGAUAUACGUAAUGCUGAACAACUCUUAGCAAUGGAUAUCUUGGUUCUC